GAUGAACGCUGGCGGCGUGCCUAACACAUUCAAGUCGAACGAACGAUCGAGGAGCUUGCUCCUUGAGAGUUAGUGGCGGACGGGUGAGUAACGCGUGAGCAACCUGCCUUUGUAUGGGGGAUAACACAGGGAAACUUGUGCUAAUACCGCAUAACGUAUACUGACCGCAUGAUUGGUAUACCAAAGAUUUAUUGUACAAAGAUGGGCUCGCGUCUGAUUAGAUAGUUGGUGAGGUAACGGCUCACCAAGUCGACGAUCAGUAGCCGGACUGAGAGGUUGAACGGCCACAUUGGAACUGAGAUACGGUCCAGACUCCUACGGGAGGCAGCAGUGGGGAAUAUUGGGCAAUGGGCGAAAGCCUGACCCAGCGACGCCGCGUGAAGGAAGAAGGCCUUCGGGUUGUAAACUUCAGUCAACAGGGAAGAAACAAAUGACGGUACCUGUGGAGGAAGCCACGGCUAACUACGUGCCAGCCGCCGCUGUAAAAC
rnacentral:rRNA from 1 species